UACGUAGGGACCAAGCGUUGUUCGGAUUUACUGGGCGUAAAGGGCGCGUAGGCGGCGCGGUAAGUCACUUGUGAAAUCUCUGAGCUUAACUCAGAACGGCCAAGUGAUACUGCAGUGCUAGAGUGUGGAAGGGGCAAUCGGAAUUCUUGGUGUAGCGGUGAAAUGCGUAGAGAUCAGGAAGAACAUCGGUGGCGAAGGCGCUCUGCUGGACCAUAACUGACACUCAGGGACGAAAGCUAGGGGAGCGAAUGGG
rnacentral:rRNA from 1 species